rnacentral:lncRNA from 1 species
CCGAGUGUGCCUUAUCUGGAUAAGGUUCCUACGACCUUCCCUCUGAGUUUCCCUCAUGUGGCACCUUCCUCCCUUGUAUAGUGGGAGGAAAGACCUUCAUCCCUGAUGAUCGGACCUAUCAUGCUGGCUUCCAUGGAAGGACCGAUUGAUGGUAGGAUCCAAGCACCCAGCAUUUUUUAGGGCACUACUUUCGAUAAUUGGAAGCUUGUUUGGGGUCUGAUGGAGGGCAUACUUAUUCCUUUAAAGGAAGAAAAGUUUAGAAGG